AUUGAACGCUGGCGGCAGGCCUAACACAUGCAAGUCGAACGAGUGGCGGACGGGUGAGUAAUGUCUGGGAAACUGCCUGAUGGAGGGGUAUAACUACUAGAAACGGUAGCUAAUACCGCAUACCAUCGGAUGUGCCCAGAUGGGAGUAGUUAGUAGGUGGGGUAACGGCUCACCAAGGAAACGAUCCCUAGCUGGUCUGAGAGGAUGACCAGCACAACGGUAACUGAGACACGGUCCAGAAUCCUACGGGAGGCAGCAGUGGGGAAUAUUGCAUAAUGGGCGCAAGCCUGAUGCAGCCAUGCCGCGUGUAUGAAGAAGGCCUUCGGGUUGUAAAGUACUUUCAGUGGGGAGGCGUUACCCGCAGAAUAAGCACCGGCUAACUCCGUGCCAGCAGCCGCGGUAAUAC
rnacentral:rRNA from 1 species